UACGUAGGUGGCGAGCGUUGUCCGGAAUUACUGGGUGUAAAGGGCGUGUAGGCGGGAAUGUAAGUCAGAUGUGAAAUUCCGGGGCUCAACCCCGGCGCUGCAUCUGAAACUAUGUUUCUUGAGUGCUGGAGAGGAAAGCGGAAUUCCUAGUGUAGCGGUGAAAUGCGUAGAUAUUAGGAGGAACACCAGUGGCGAAGGCGGCUUUCUGGACAGUAACUGACGCUGAGGCGCGAAAGCGUGGGGAGCAAACAGG
rnacentral:rRNA from 1 species